GACGAACGCUGGCGGCGUGCCUAAUACAUGCAAGUAGAACGCACAGUUUAUACCGUAGCUUGCUACACCAUAAACUGUGAGUUGCGAACGGGUGAGUAACGCGUAGGUAACCUGCCUGGUAGCGGGGGAUAACUAUUGGAAACGAUAGCUAAUACCGCAUAAUAUUAAUUAUUGCAUGAUAAUUGAUUGAAAGAUGCAAUUGCAUCACUACCAGAUGGACCUGCGUUGUAUUAGCUAGUAGGUGAGGUAACGGCUCACCUAGGCGACGAUACAUAGCCGACCUGAGAGGGUGAUCGGCCACCCUGGGACUGAGACACGGCCCAGACUCCUACGGGAGGCAGCAGUAGGGAAUCUUCGGCAAUAGACGAAAGUCUGACCGAGCAACGCCGCGUGAGUGAAGAAGGUUUUCGGAUCGUAAAGCUCUGUUGUAAGAGAAGAACGGGUGUGAGAGUGGAAAGUUCACACUGUGACGGUAUCUUACCAGAAAGGGACGGCUAACUACGUG
rnacentral:rRNA from 1 species